rnacentral:rRNA from 1 species
CAGCCGCGCGGGAAUACGAAGGGGGCUAGCGUUGCUCGGAAUGACUGGGCGUAAAGGGCGCGUAGGCGGUUUGUACAGUUGGAUGUGAAAUUCCUGGGCUUAACCUGGGGGCUGCAUUCAAUACGUGCAGGCUUGAGUGUGGAAGAGGGUUGUGGAAUUCCCAGUGUAGAGGUGAAAUUCGUAGAUAUUCGGAAGAACACCAGUGGCGAAGGCGGCUUACUGGCUCAUACUGGACGCUGAGGUGCGAAAGCGUGGGGAGCAAACAGGAUUAGAUACCCCAGUAGUCCCUGUCUCUUAUACA